rnacentral:rRNA from 1 species
UACCAGCACCCCGAGUGGUCGGGACGAUUAUUGGGCCUAAAGCAUCCGUAGCCGGUUCUACAAGUCUUCCGUUAAAUCCACCUGCUUAACAGAUGGGCUGCGGAGGAUACUAUGGAGCUAGGAGGCGGGAGAGGCAAGCGGUACUUAGUGGGUAGGGGUAAAAUCCUCUGAUCCAUUGAAGACCACCAGUGGCGAAGGCGGCUUGCCAAUACGCGCUCGACGGUGAGGGAUGAAAGCUGGGGGGAGCAAACCGG